GUGGGGAAUAUUGCACAAUGGGCGGAAGCCUGAUGCAGCGACGCCGCGUGAGGGAUGACGGCCUUCGGGUUGUAAACCUCUUUCGACCCUGACGAAGCGUGAGUGACGGUAGGGGGAGAAGAAGCACCGGCCAACUACGUGCCAGCAGCCGCGGUAAGACGUAGGGUGCGAGCGUUGUCCGGAUUUAUUGGGCGUAAAGAGCUCGUAGGCGGCUCGUCGCGUCGACCGUGAAAACCCGCAGCUUAACUGCGGGCUUGCGGUUGAUACGGGCGGGCUAGAGUUCGGUAGGGGAGACUGGAAUUCCUGGUGUAGCGGUGAAAUGCGCAGAUAUCAGGAGGAACACCGGUGGCGAAGGCGGGUCUCUGGGCCGAUACUGACGCUGAGGAGCGAAAGCGUGGGGAGCGAACAGGAUUAGAAACCCGAGUAGUCC
rnacentral:rRNA from 1 species